GCUUACGGCCCAUACCAACCUGGCUAUGCCCGAUCUCGUCUGAUCUCGGAAGCUAAGCAGGUUUGGGCCUGGUUAGUACUUGGAUGGGAAACCGCCUGAGGAAUACCAGGUGCUGUAAGCU
rnacentral:rRNA from 1 species